rnacentral:rRNA from 1 species
AUUCCCGUUGAUCCUGCGGGAGGCCGCUGCUAUUGGAAUCCGGUUAAGGCAUGCAUGUCAGGGGACUUCGGUCACCGGCAAAAGGCUGAGUAACACGUCGAUAAUCUUCCCUAUGGUGGGGUAUACCCUUGGUAACCUGAGGUUAAAACCCUAUAAGAAAUGAAUACUGAAAUGUGUUUUUUCUAAAACGCAAGGCCGUAGGACGAGUCGGCGGUGGAUUAGGUAGUUGGUGAGGUAAUGGCUCACCAAGCCAAAGAUCCAUAAGGGCCAUGAAAGUGGGAGCCCUCAGAGGGACACUGAGAUACUGGUCCCAGCCCUACGGGGUGCAGCAGCUACGAAAACUUUACAAUGCACGAAAGUGUGAUAAGGGGAUUCCGAGUGCUUAUGCAUUGCAUAGGCUUUUGCCAAAGGUAAACACUUUGGCGAAUAAGUGGUGGGUAAGACUGGUGCCAGCAG